rnacentral:tRNA from 1 species
UGGGGAGUAGCUCAGUGGUAGAGCGCUCACCUCGCACGUGGAAGGCACUGGGUUCAAUCCUCAGCACCACAU